UGGCACAGAAACUGGAUUUCGCUUACAGUCUUAGGCCUGGAAAUGGGAUGAGAUGAUGAAGUUAAAAAUGCUAUUUAAAAAAAAAAAAAGUUUUCUUUCGUAUAUGAUGGUUACAGAUUAAUCGUAGAAUAUCACCAAAGAUGUGAGAAUUUAUUUGUUUAUUUAUUUAUUUUAGAUUUCCAGGUUGUCUUUAAAAUCCCUAGAAUUCUUUUCAUCGCUAUUUUUCUGUUGACCGUGACUUCUAACGAGUUGACGCUCAUCUCUUGUAUAUUAGAGUGAGGGACACGCCCAUUAAGUGAACCAUUAGAACGGCGACAUGCUUACAAAGAGUGUAAUUCGACACAUGUUCCGGUUAGUUCAGGUGUGGGUUUGACAUGCCCUGUGAUGUAAAAACAAACAAUAGUGGUCAGCUGCUCUUUACCAUGGGCUUCUAUUCCAGCGCACGAUGGUGCGUUGAAUAACGCGGAACAAAACGCUCAUAGAACAGGAAAUGGUGGCAGAGUGACUUCUACAGACCACAAGCAGGCACAAUUACACAGAAAAUGUCUGGUAAAAGUUUAUUCGUGAACGAAAUUCAGAACCUUUAAGUUCUCCUUAGGAGUGAGUGACUUCGAAAUGUCUUUAUUUAUUAUUAGCGCGUAGCACAAGAUCAGAUCACAUUUUGUGAGCAAGCUCUUUUAAGGUUGUCUACUUUGGUCGUCCGUCAAAGAGCUCGACUAGAAAAAAAAAAAAUUCCAAGUAGGACUCUUUUCUGGAACUGAAGAAGCCGUAAUUAUCCAGUGAACCGUUGAAGAACCCUUUUUUGUGUAGGUAGUUAAGUGUGUGGUACAUUCUCUAAAUUAUUGGAAAUUGUUUUCAUCUUAAUACCUAAAACCUGUCAUUUAUAAUUUAGCUAUAUUGGUAUACGCUUAGGUUCUUUAAGGAGCCAUCGGAUAAUUGAGGGUCUUGACAAGGAAAUACUCUGUUGUAGGGUUGACCAAUGAACCCUUUAAGAACCUUCAAAGAACCUUUUUUUUCUAAGUUUACCAAUACCAAGAUAGCUAAAGUUUUAAAUGACAGGUUCUAGAUAUUACAAGGAAAAUAAUUAAGGGUUUUGGACAACAAAGGUUAAGGACCCUUAACUAUCCACUGAGCCCUUAAAGAACCCUUAAUUAUCCAGUGAACCCUUAAAGAACCCUUAAUUAUCCAUGAACCCAUUAAAGAGCCCUUAAUUAUCCAGUGAACCC
ensembl:lncRNA